rnacentral:rRNA from 1 species
UCGGAUUGUAGUCUGCAACCCGACUACAUGAAGCUGGAAUCGCUAGUAAUCGCGAAUCAGAAUGUCGCGGUGAAUACGUUCCCGGGUCUUGUACACACCGCCCGUCACACCAUGGGAGUCGGAAAUGCCCGAAGUCAGUGACCCAACCGCAAGGAGGGAGCUGCCGAAGGUGGAGCCGGUAACUGGGGUGAAGUCGUAACAAGGUAUC